rnacentral:misc_RNA from 1 species
ACGAGUUUACUGAGUUGUCGCUGCCCUUUCGGGGGAUGUGCACGCUCUUUCACUCAUCUAUACACCUGUGAACCUAUGCGAGUCAAUGGGGGAUUAGCGAAAGAGAUCGAAAGGUCUUCGACUAGCGUUCUCUAUCGGCUCGAUUUUUUAUAAACUCUUGUAUGUCUCAGAAUGUCUACUUUGCUUAACGCAAUAAAUA